CUCGUAACAAGGUUUCCGUAGGUGAACCUGCGGAAGGAUCAUUA
rnacentral:rRNA from 1 species